rnacentral:rRNA from 1 species
UACGGAGGAUGCAAGCGUUAUCCGGAUUUAUUGGGUUUAAAGGGUGCGUAGGCGGUUUUAUAAGUCAGUGGUGAAAUACUGGAGCUUAACUUUAGCAUUGCCAUUGAAACUGUAAGACUAGAGUUUGGUUGAGGUAUGCGGAAUGUGUAGUGUAGCGGUGAAAUGCAUAGAUAUUACACAGAACACCGAUUGCGGAGGCAGCAUACUAAGCCAAUACAGACGCUGAGGCACGAAAGCGUGGGGAU